rnacentral:rRNA from 1 species
UAGGGAAUCUUCGGCAAUGGGGGGAACCCUGACCGAGCAACGCCGCGUGAGUGAAGAAGGUUUUCGGAUCGUAAAGCUCUGUUGUUAAGGAAGAACGAGUGUGAGAAUGGAAAGUUCAUGCUGUGACGGUACUUAACCAGAAAGGGACGGCUAACUACGUGCCAGCAGCCGCGGUAAUACGUAGGUCCCGAGCGUUGUCCGGAUUUAUUGGGCGUAAAGCGAGCGCAGGCGGUUAGAAAAGUCUGAAGUGAAAGGCAGUGGCUCAACCAUUGUAGGCUUUGGAAACUGUUUAACUUGAGUGCAGAAGGGGAGAGUGGAAGUCCAUGUGUAGCGGUGAAAUGCGUGGAUAUAUGGAGGAACACCGGUGGCGAAAGCGGCUCUCUGGUCUGUAACUGACGCUGAGGCUCGAAAGCGUGGGGAGCGAACAGG